rnacentral:rRNA from 1 species
GACGAACGCUGGCGGCGUGCCUAAUACAUGCAAGUCGAGCGGACCGACGGGAGCUUGCUCCCUUAGGUCAGCGGCGGACGGGUGAGUAACACGUGGGUAACCUGCCUGUAAGACUGGGAUAACUCCGGGAAACCGGGGCUAAUACCGGAUGCUUGAUUGAACCGCAUGGUUCAAUCAUAAAAGGUGGCUUUCAGCUACCACUUACAGAUGGACCCGCGGCGCAUUAGCUAGUUGGUGAGGUAACGGCUCACCAAGGCGACGAUGCGUAGCCGACCUGAGAGGGUGAUCGGCCACACUGGGACUGAGACACGGCCCAGACUCCUACGGGAGGCAGCAGUAGGGAAUCUUCCGCAAUGGACGAAAGUCUGACGGAGCAACGCCGCGUGAGUGAUGAAGGUUUUCGGAUCGUAAAACUCUGUUGUUAGGGAAGAACAAGUACCGUUCGAAUAGGGCGGCACCUUGACGGUACCUAACCAGAAAGCCACGGCUAACUACGUGCCAGCAGCCGCGGUAAUACGUAGGUGGCAAGCGUUGUCCGGAAUUAUUGGGCGUAAAGCGCGCGCAGGCGGUUUCUUAAGUCUGAUGUGAAAGCCCCCGGCUCAACCGGGGAGGGUCAUUGGAAACUGGGGAACUUGAGUGCAGAAGAGGAGAGUGGAAUUCCACGUGUAGCGGUGAAAUGCGUAGAGAUGUGGAGGAACACCAGUGGCGAAGGCGACUCUC